AUACAUGCGAGUCGAACGAACUCUGGUAUUGAUUGGUGCUUGCAUCAUGAUUUACAUUUGAGUGAGUGGCGAACUGGUGAGUAACACGUGGGAAACCUGCCCAGAAGCGGGGGAUAACACCUGGAAACAGAUGCUAAUACCGCAUAACAACUUGGACCGCAUGGUCCGAGCUUGAAAGAUGGCUUCGGCUAUCACUUUUGGAUGGUCCCGCGGCGUAUUAGCUAGAUGGUGGGGUAACGGCUCACCAUGGCAAUGAUACGUAGCCGACCUGAGAGGGUAAUCGGCCACAUUGGGACUGAGACACGGCCCAAACUCCUACGGGAGGCAGCAGUAGGGAAUCUUCCACAAUGGACGAAAGUCUGAUGGAGCAACGCCGCGUGAGUGAAGAAGGGUUUCGGCUCGUAAAACUCUGUUGUUAAAGAAGAACAUAUCUGAGAGUAACUGUUCAGGUAUUGACGGUAUUUAACCAGAAAGCCACGGCUAACUACGUGCCAGCAGCCGCGGUAAUACGUAGGUGGCAAGCGUUGUCCGGAUUUAUUGGGCGUAAAGCGAGCGCAGGCGGUUUUUUAAGUCUGAUGUGAAAGCCUUCGGCUCAACCGAAGAAGUGCAUCGGAAACUGGGAAACUUGAGUGCAGAAGAGGACAGUGGAACUCCAUGUGUAGCGGUGAAAUGCGUAGAUAUAUGGAAGAACACCAGUGGCGAAGGCGUCUGGUCUGUAACUGACGCUGAGGCUCGAAAGUAUGGGUAGCAAACAGGAUUAGAUACCCUGGUAGUCCAUACCGUAAACGAUGAAUGCUAAGUGUUGGAGGGUUUCCGCCCUUCAGUGCUGCAGCUAACGCAUUAAGCAUUCCGCCUGGGGAGUACGGCCGCAAGGCUGAAACUCAAAGGAAUUGACGGGGGCCCGCACAAGCGGUGGAGCAUGUGGUUUAAUUCGAAGCUACGCGAAGAACCUUACCAGGUCUUGACAUACUAUGCAAAUCUAAGAGAUUAGACGUUCCCUUCGGGGACAUGGAUACAGGUGGUGCAUGGUUGUCGUCAGCUCGUGUCGUGAGAUGUUGGGUUAAGUCCCGCAACGAGCGCAACCCUUAUUAUCAGUUGCCAGCAUUAAGUUGGGCACUCUGGUGAGACUGCCGGUGACAAACCGGAGGAAGGUGGGGAUGACGUCAAAUCAUCAUGCCCCUUAUGACCUGGGCUACACACGUGCUACAAUGGAUGGUACAACGAGUUGCGAACUCGCGAGAGUAAGCUAAUCUCUUAAAGCCAUUCUCAGUUCGGAUUGUAGGCUGCAACUCGCCUACAUGAAGUCGGAAUCGCUAGUAAUCGCGGAUCAGCAUGCCGCGGUGAAUACGUUCCCGGGCCUUGUACACA
rnacentral:rRNA from 2 species